rnacentral:rRNA from 1 species
GAUGAACGCUGGCGGCGUGCUUAACACAUGCAAGUCGAGCGAAGCACUUAAGUUCGAUUCUUCGGAUGAAGACUUUUGUGACUGAGUGGCGGACGGGUGAGUAACGCGUGGGUAACCUGCCUCAUACAGGGGGAUAACAGUUAGAAAUGGCUGCUAAUACCGCAUAAGACCACAGUACUGCAUGGUACAGUGGUAAAAACUCCGGUGGUAUGAGAUGGACCCGCGUCUGAUUAGGUAGUUGGUGAGGUAACGGCCCACCAAGCCGACGAUCAGUAGCCGACCUGAGAGGGUGACCGGCCACAUUGGGACUGAGACACGGCCCAGACUCCUACGGGAGGCAGCAGUGGGGAAUAUUGCACAAUGGGCGAAAGCCUGAUGCAGCGACGCCGCGUGAAGGAUGAAGUAUUUCGGUAUGUAAACUUCUAUCAGCAGGGAAGAAAAUGACGGUACCUGACUAAGAAGCCCCGGCUAACUACGUGCCAGCCGCCGCCGUAA